rnacentral:rRNA from 1 species
CCCUUAGAUGUUCUGGGCUGCACGCGCGCUACACUGAUGCGUUCAACGAGUUUAUGACCUUGCCCGAUAGGCCUGGGUAAUCUUUGAACACCGGUCGUGAUGGGGAUAGAUCCUUGCAAUUUUUGAUCUUCAACGAGGAAUUCCUAGUAAAUGCGAGUCAUCAUCUCGCGUUGAUUACGUCCCUGCCCUUUGUACACACCGCCCGUCGCACCUACCGAUUGAAUGGUCCGGUGAAGCCUCCGGAUUGCGCGGCUUCGGCUGUCGCGAGAAGUUGGCUAAACCUUACCAUUUAGAGGAAGGUGAAGUCGUAACA